AUUGAACGCUGGCGGCAGGCCUAACACAUGCAAGUCGAGCGAGAGGCGGACGGGGGAGUAAUGUGUGGGGAACUGCCCGAUGGAGGGGGGUAACUACAGGAAACGGUGUCUCAUAUCGCAUACCAUCAGAUGUGCCCAGAUGUGAUUAGCUAGUAGGUGGGGUAACGGCUCACCUAGGCGACGAUCCCUAGCUGGUCUGAGAGGAUGACCAGCCACACUGGAACUGAGACACGGUCCAGACUCCUACGGGAGGCAGCAGUGGGGAAUAUUGCACAAUGGGCGCAAGCCUGAUGCAGCCAUGCCGCGUGUAUGAAGAAGGCCUUCGGGUUGUAAAGUACUUUCAGCGGGGAGGCGUUACCCGCAGAAGAAGCACCGGCUAACUCCGUGCCAGCAGCCGCGGUAAUUC
rnacentral:rRNA from 1 species